rnacentral:rRNA from 1 species
AUGAAAUAUUACUUAAUUGAUAGACUCAUUCGGCUUGUUCUUACUUUACCGGUUUCAACGGCAACGACAGAAUGUGCAUUUUCUGCCAUGAAACUUGUGAAGACAAGGCUUCGGAAUAAAAUGGAAGAUGGAUUUCUAAGGGAUUGCUUACUAAUUUAUAUUGAAAAGGAGAUUGCUGUUGGAAUAGCAAUAGAUGCAAUUAUAGACGAGUUCGAUGAACCAACACGUCGAGUGGCAUUUAGUUGA